UUCAGCCUACGGGGGGCAGCAGUGGGGAAUAUUGGGCAAUGGGCGCAAGCCUGACCCAGCAACGCCACGUGAAGGAAGAAGGCUUUCGGGUUGUAAACUUCUUUUCUCAGGGACGAAGCAAGUGACGGUACCUGAGGAAUAAGCCACGGCUAACUACGCGCCAGCAGCCGCGGUACUACGUAGGUGGCACGCGUUAUCCGGAUUUACUGGGUGUAAAGGGCGUGUAGGCGGGUAAGCCAGU
rnacentral:rRNA from 1 species